GGUGUGUCUAGCAUAUGUAUUUUCUACCUAUUUCAUUUAUAGCUAUUGAAUUUUUUCAGAUACAUUUUUAGUCAGUCAGAAUGGGUCCUACAGGGUAGGUGACUUGCUAAGUGCCUUCCUCUGAUAUCAGAGAUUUGAAAAGAUUUUUUCCAUCUGUCUCUGUGCACUUUCCAGAGGUCUGUGUUUACAAAUAGAGGGCAGAGUCUGAGAUACUGUUUAGUAUAAUUCCAAUUCUUUUAUGGCCUUAUUUAUGCCUUUCGGCAACAUAGACUAGGACAGAAGCAUCACUGAAAGUUUCGGCCCCGUGUGUUUAGAGAACAGCUAGUAAAGGUGGCCUGGAUAUCAAACAUCCUGUCCCCACACAGAACAUUCAUGUUCAGGGUUAAAAGACCACAAGGAAAAAUUUCAUCACAUCUUCAAAAAUGUACUUACAUCAGCUGGUUCCAGCUACAUAUCAUAAGCAGCUUCAUCUGUUUGGAACCAGAAGUGUGAAAGACCUGGAAAUUAAAUCAAAAGAAUAGCAGAAUAAUCCUCCUCACUGACAAAUG